rnacentral:tRNA from 1 species
GGAGGGAUGGCCGAGUGGACUAAGGCGACGGUCUUGAAAACCGUUGUGGCCGUAAGGUCACCGGGGGUUCGAAUCCCUCUCCCUCCGCCA